GAAAUGCGAUAAGUAAUGUGAAUUGCAGAAUUCAGUGAAUCAUCGAAUCUUUGAACGCACCGUGCGCUCCUUGGUAUUCCUUGGAGCAUGCCUGUUUGAGUAUCAUGAAAUCUUCAAAGUAAAUCUUUUGUUAACUCAAUUGGUUUCUACUUUGGUAUUGGAGGUCUUUGCAGCUUCACACCUGCUCCUCUUUGUUCAUUAGCUGGAUCUCAGUGUUAUGCUUGGUUCCACUCGGCGUGAUAAGUUAUCUAUCGCUGAGGACACUGUAAACGGUGGCCAAGGUAAAUGCAGAUGAACCGCUUCUAAUAGUCCAUUGACUUGGACAAUACUUUUAUGAUCUGAUCUCAAAUCAGGUAGGACUACCCGCUGAACUUAAGC
rnacentral:misc_RNA from 1 species